CAGGAAGUAGUAGCAUUUGAGUCUCCUGACCAAACGUUCUCCCUCUUUUUCUGUAUCAUAUUGUCCUGAGCCCUAGGACCAUGCCUCAGGACUACCUGGCAUGAUGACUCCUUGCUGUCCCCAGUCCACCUGGCCGUGCUGCUGCUCCAGUUUCAACUGUUCUGCCUGCGGCUAUGGAAUCCUGACCUGUUCACUGGACGUGCUACCUGUCCCGGACCUGCUGUUUUCAACUCUUUAGAGACAGCAGUCACAAGGAAGAGGGAAGCAGUCGCUGACAAGGUGGAGAAAAUUGAGGCCUUUACUAGGAAGCUUGAGUUGUUGGAUUUGGACUUGUCAUCUGGAAGGCUACUGCACUUCAGCACACUGAAGAAACGGCAGGCAGAGGGACCAGGCCGAGGGACCAGAGGGACCAGGCCGCAGCAUCGUCACAGAGCUGAUGGAACAUUUAAUAAAGCAGCUGAGGGACAACGUAUCCACCAGAUUUGAAGACCACACGCCCAAGGACAUCAUUGUGUUUGUACGUGAUCCUCUCACAGUCCGCCCAGGUGGAGAAUUCUCCUCCCUUGCUAAGAAAGCGAUACCCUCGCUGGAUGAGGUUUUUUUAAAUGUAACCUUUAUUUUACAAAAUGCCUCCAGCUGUCCAUCACUACUGUAAAUAAAAACACAGAAUAUCUAAGGGGCUUUUAUUUAAAUAUAAUGCAGGGUUAAUAAUAAUAAUAAUUUUAACCCCUUCCACUUGCUAAAGGUUCCAAUUGAUCUUUUUUUGUUAAAUCAAUUAGUAUAUUUGAGUUUAACCACAAUAUUUGUUGUAUUAUUUGUUCUGUCUUUUCUGAUGGGUUAAACUGAAAUUGCAACCAACUUCCUAUGGCUUGUUACUUUGGAGAUGAUUUUGUUUUCAAAUAACCCGAAAGUGAGCGAUUGUCACCAUAGAAAGAAGCUGGCUUGAUGAAAACGAUGUCCAUUUUGUCUGUUCUCUUCGCAAUGUCAUUUUUUUUCCAGAUAAACAGCUCAUUUUUUUUCCAGAUAAACAGCUCAUUUUUGAAUGGUAACUGUGUUAAGGGUGGAGUUUGGGGCAGGGUGAGGAGUACUGGAAAGGUGUGACUUUCAGUUUACAAUAGGCCAUAAGUAUACAGCAGAUCGCAGAUUGUCCUCACUUUGAUUAUGCUGUAACAACAUACUGUAGCACCAUGACCAGGAUCUCUAAUCAUUUAAGUGAGCAGAUUAGGGCUUUCAGGAGGAACGGAAAAUCUACUGGAGACAUUUAAAAAAAUACUGGUAGCCUUGGGGAUUUUGGUCACGGACAGUGCUAUUUGCAAACACUAUCAUCAGAUGUCUGUGUUACGUCGAACGGGAAAGCCCGGGAAAAUGAUCAGGUACAGUAGGCUACAAUACUGUAGGCCUAAUAAUGGUUAAAUAAAUCGACUGCUGGUCUUUAA